rnacentral:tRNA from 1 species
GUCUCUGUGGCACAAUCGGUUAGCGCGUUCGGCUCUUAAUCCAAAGGUUGGUGGUUAGAGCCCACUGAGGGACA